UCGAGCGGAGUGAUGGUGCUUGCACUAUCACUUAGCGGCGGACGGGUGAGUAAUGCUUAGGAAUCUGCCUAUUAGUGGGGGACAACAUCUCGAAAGGGAUGCUAAUACCGCAUACGUCCUACGGGAGAAAGCAGGGGAUCACUUGUGACCUUGCGCUAAUAGAUGAGCCUAAGUCGGAUUAGCUAGUUGGUGGGGUAAAGGCCUACCAAGGCGACGAUCUGUAGCGGGUCUGAGAGGAUGAUCCGCCACACUGGGACUGAGACACGGCCCAGACUCCUACGGGAGGCAGCAGUGGGGAAUAUUGGACAAUGGGGGGAACCCUGAUCCAGCCAUGCCGCGUGUGUGAAGAAGGCCUUAUGGUUGUAAAGCACUUUAAGCGAGGAGGAGGCUCUUUUGGUUAAUACCCAAGAUGAGUGGACGUUACUCGCAGAAUAAGCACCGGCUAACUCUGUGCCAGCAGCCGCGGUAAUACAGAGGGUGCAAGCGUUAAUCGGAUUUACUGGGCGUAAAGCGCGCGUAGGCGGCCAAUUAAGUCAAAUGUGAAAUCCCCGAGCUUAACUUGGGAAUUGCAUUCGAUACUGGUUGGCUAGAGUGUGGGAGAGGAUGGUAGAAUUCCAGGUGUAGCGGUGAAAUGCGUAGAGAUCUGGAGGAAUACMGAUGGCGAAGGCAGCCAUCUGGCCUAACACUGACGCUGAGGUGCGAAAGCAUGGG
rnacentral:rRNA from 1 species